rnacentral:rRNA from 1 species
CUUGUUCUUUAAAUAAGGACUAGUAUGAAUGGCAUCACGAAGGUUAUACUGUCUCCCCUUUUUAAUCAGUGAAACUAAUCCCCCCGUGAAGAAGCGAGGAUAAAACUAUAAGACGAGAAGACCCUAUGGAGCUUUAGACUAAGCAACUUUUGUUAUUUAAACACUUAUACCCUCCGGAAAUCCAACUAUAUUUUCUCAUAUUGAUUGCUUGUCUUAGGUUGGGGUGACCGCGGAGCACAACAUAACCUCCACAAUGAAAGAAACUUAAUUUCUUAACCCAGAAUUACAAUUCUAAGUACCAAAAAUUUGACAUAAAUUGACCCAAUAAAUUGAUCAACGAACCAAGUUACCCUAGGGAUAACAGCGCAAUCUACUUCAAGAGCCCCUAUCGACAAGUAG